rnacentral:rRNA from 1 species
CGCAGAUGAACGCUGGCGGCGUGCUUAACACAUGCAAGUCGAACGAUGAUCUCCAGCUUGCUGGGGGGAUUAGUGGCGAACGGGUGAGUAACACGUGAGUAACCUGCCCUUGACUCUGGGAUAAGCCUGGGAAACUGGGUCUAAUACCGGAUACGACCGUCCCGCGCAUGCGGUGGUGGUGGAAAGCUUUUGCGGUUUUGGAUGGACUCGCGGCCUAUCAGCUUGUUGGUGGGGUAAUGGCCUACCAAGGCGACGACGGGUAGCCGGCCUGAGAGGGUGACCGGCCACACUGGGACUGAGACACGGCCCAGACUCCUACGGGAGGCAGCAGUGGGGAAUAUUGCACAAUGGGCGAAAGCCUGAUGCAGCGACGCCGCGUGAGGGAUGACGGCCUUCGGGUUGUAAACCUCUUUCAGUAGGGAAGAAGCGAAAGUGACGGUACCUGCAGAAGAAGCGCCGGCUAACUACGUGCCAGCAGCCGCGGUAAUACGUAGGGCGCAAGCGUUAUCCGGAAUUAUUGGGCGUAAAGAGCUCGUAGGCGGUUUGUCGCGUCUGCUGUGAAAGACCGGGGCUCAACUCCGGUUCUGCAGUGGGUACGGGCAGACUAGAGUGAUGUAGGGGAGACUGGAAUUCCUGGUGUAGCGGUGAAAUGCGCAGAUAUCAGGAGGAACACCGAUGGCGAAGGCAGGUCUCUGGGCAUUAACUGACGCUGAGGAGCGAAAGCAUGGGGAGCGAACAGGAUUAGAUACCCUGGUAGUCCAUGCCGUAAACGUUGGGCACUAGGUGUGGGGGACAUUCCACGUUUUCCGCGCCGUAGCUAACGCAUUAAGUGCCCCGCCUGGA